AGAGUUUGAUCCUGGCUCAGAACGAACGCUGGCGGCGUGGAUAAGACAUGCAAGUCGAACGGGAACUUUUCUGGUAGCAAUACCGGGAAAGUUUUAGUGGCGAACGGGUGCGUAACACGUGGGCAAUCUGCCGAGAAGUGGGGGAUAGCUCGCCGAAAGGCGAAUUAAUACCGCAUAUGAUCAGGGAAGACAUCUUUCCGACAUCAAAGCCGGGGCAACCUGGCGCUUCUUGAUGACCCCGCGGCCUAUCAGCUAGUUGGUGAGGUAACGGCCCACCAAGGCGAUGACGGGUAGCUGGUCUGAGAGGACGACCAGUCACACUGGAACUGAGACACGGUCCAGACACCUACGGGUGGCAGCAGUCGAGAAUUUUUCUCAAUGGGGGAAACCCUGAAGGAGCGACGCCGCGUGGAGGAUGAAGGCUUUCGGGUUGUAAACUCCUGUCAUUUGAGAACAAUGGCUACGCGUUAACUGCGCGGAGCUUGAUAGUAUCAGAAGAGGAAGGGACGGCUAACUCUGUGCCAGCCGCCGCGGUAAUAC
rnacentral:rRNA from 1 species